rnacentral:ncRNA from 1 species
AUUAAGCCAUGAAUGUAUAAAUAUAAAUUGUUUUAUAUUGUGAAAUUGUGAAUGGCUUAUUAAAUAAAUAAUAGUUUAUUUGAUAGUACCUUACUACUCAGAUAACUAUAGUAAUUCUAUAACUAAUAUGUGUAAAGAGUCCUGACCUUCAAAAGGGAUGCACUUACUAGAUUCAAGACUAAUGCAUACUCAUUUAUAUUCUCAGUGGUUCAUGAUAACUUGUCAAAUCAUAUGGUCCUCGUGUCAGUGAUACUUAAAUUAAAUUUCUACCCUAUCAACUUUUGAUGGUAGGAUAUAAUAGGGAAUUAGGGUUUGAUUUUGAGAUACAGCUACCACAUAUAGGGAAGGUAGCAUGGAG